AGCUGUUGCCUGGGGCUUCAUCGCUGCCACAAAAUCCCUUACCUGUUUGAGCAUCUAACAUGCAGCUUCGCAGAGGCCUGGAAAAUCCCAACCAGCAGGACAGGAGGGAAUACACGGAUCUGCAAGAUGCCAAAUUCCAAAUUCACAAAGCCGGCAGCUGAAAGGGAACAAGAAGGGCGGGAGCAAAAGAAUCUGGGCUACUUGCAACCUUUGCCCUCCAAGCCUCCUCCAAGUGACCUCCUGCUUCAAAUCAGUUUUGUUUGUUUAAGCCCACUGGCAAUUGCUGGUUCAGUGUAAAUCGAAUGUAACUUUUCCAAGACCUCAUGAAAACUUUCCCCGCAAAGGUCAUUGACUCUUUGUCUCCAAGAAGCCUUUAAACAGCGGCGACUGGCGUUGGGCUGAGCGCGGCUUUCAGUGGGGGAUGAAUGGCAUGUUGACCUCCUCGAUUCAAAGGUGAGCAGGGUUCAUGUCUUUUCGUUUGCAAACAGAGACCCAUCUAACCUUUACAUAAUGCAAUCUAUGGCUCAGCAUUUAAUUGAAUGUCUGAGGCGUGCAUCAAUUUGGGCAAAGAGAAACAGCCCAGUUGAUGCCAUUAUCAAGAGAAAUUCAAGAUAAGGAGGAGUACGGGGGGGGGGACCUCGUGUAAUUUGUUGAAAGGCACGGUAAUUCACUUAAAUCCUGACACCUUUGAUAAAAGCUAAUUUAUGAAGAGGCAAACAGCAAUCUGCUUGCAGGGCCUGGGAUGGGGAUCUUGCUGUUAAUACAAUCUGUCCUUCGCAGACGGCCGGGGCUGGCUUUGGAAAGGUAGAUUUGUCCUCCAAACUGGGCAGAGAAAGGGCUCGACCCUUUGGAAACUUUCCACCUGCCUUGCCGCACCCUCCAGUCUCUGCUUCUCAAUUUGUAUUGUAUUAUUUUAUGCACUGUGGCUUGCUGUUGUUUUAUUGAUUGUAGUUUAGAAAUUAUUUACAGACGAAUGCCUCGCAAGACGAAAAGCUCGCUAGACGAAAGAGUUUUCCGUUUUUUGAGUCGUUCCGCAAGACGAAUUUCCCUAUGGGCUUGCUUCGCAAGACAAAACGUCUUGCGAGUUCUUGCGAGUUUGUUUCCUUUUUCUUAAAGCCGCUAAGCCGUUAAUAGCCGCUAAGCCGCUAAGCCGCUAAUAGCCGUGCUUCGCAAGACGAAAAAACCGCAAGACGAAGAGACUCGCGGAACGGAUUAAUUUUGUCUUCCGAGGCACCACUGUAUUGUAAUUCUUAAGAGUGGAUUUUUGUUUAAUUUUUAUAUGCUGAUAUUUAAUACUAUUCUAUACUAUUGUUGAAUGUUGCUUUAUUUGAUGAACGUUGCUUAUUUUAAAAUUACGUUUUAUUAUCAUGUUGUAUUGGAUUAGAUUGUUAUAGCAUGUACAUUCUUUGUUUCUUCAACUUGUAAACCGCCCUGGGGGUUGUAAGAUAGGAAGACGGUAUCCAAAUUAAAAGUGAUGAUGAUGAUGAAGAAGAAAGUCCCACUGAGCCUCUUGGCCUUGCUGAUCAGAAGGUCAGUGGUUCAAAACCCCACAAUGGGAUGAGCUCCCAUUGCUCUGUCCCAGCUCCUGCUAACCUUGUAGUUUGAAAGCACACAAGUGCAAGUAGAUAAAUAGGUACCACUGCGACGGGAAGGUAAACAGCUCUUCCAUGAGCUCUGGUUUCCAUCACGGUGUCCUGUUGCACCAGAAGCGGUUUAGCCAUGCUGCCCACAUGACCCAGAAAGCUGUCUGUGGACAAACGCCGCCUCCCUCGCCUGAAAGCGAGAUGAGCACCACAACCCCAUAGUCGCCUUUGACUUGACUUAACCAUCCAGGGGUCCUUUACCUUUUUACCUAGUGGUGUAUCUUCCUUUAACAACAUCGCUGCAUGUGCUCAGUAGAGAGUCGGUGCAUGGGUUACAUCAUCAGCCUGAUCCUGUCAAAUGUUCACUGCUGCUAGAGUCAGGUGUCAAAUCCUGGCAGCUAUCAUGUGUCAGCUGCAACUCCCCGCCCCCCAAACGACUCAAACCUAAUUUACACACACACAUCUUCCAAAGCUAUUUUCGAAAGGAGAGAAGCAGUGCACAUGCGCCUAACCCAGGGCUAGACAGUGUGGUGUCCAUAUAUAUAUACAUUCAGAUGCUAACUGCUACCUAUCUGAUAAUGCUCAGCGCUGACAGCUGCUGCAUGCCAGCUGUCAGAUAGUGUCAAAUGACUGGGAUUGCAGCAUCUUUCCGUGUCGAAUGCUGAUGAUGAACGGCGAAUAUGUGCACAUCCAGAUGGGGGGGGGAGGACAGUCGCAGGAGUUCAGGAAGCAAAUUUGUUUCGGCUUCGUAUGACAGCAUCGCUCAGGCCUGACCCCCUCUUUCUCACUCCAUUCCAGCUCUACUCAGGCCUCCCUACCUCCAUCUCGCCACUGCCCAUCACAGAGUCUUAGUUCUGGAUGAGGGCCUCCAUCGCACAGAGCUUAUUUCAAGGUCUGAGCUUGCAGCCUAGGACCACAUGGUUACAAUCCAUGCAGCAACGCGUGGGGCGGUGGGGAGGAUGAGCUUGGUUUGAAAGAUAAUAACCAGGGAGGCAGAGCUCCUUGCUCCUCUGAACUGUCUGCUCCAUCCCUCCCUUCAAGCUCAGGGCAGGUAAAUGAGAAAGCGCCAUCAAAGUGCAGAAUGAAUGGGAAGGGGGAGGGGUGCCAUUUUGUCUUCUGUCUUUUAAUCAAAGGCUUGGGAGAUCUUACAGAAAGAAGGGAAUGAAGCCUCUGGGCAAUCUGAUCAGAUAAAUGAGCAACUAACAACAAGCCAACAUCGUUUAAUUAGAUCUACAGCCAAGUCUGAGACAAAGACUUAAACUCAGAUGAGCUCGUUCCCAACUGACUUUCAAAAAUCCCCCACAUGCUAUGUAUGCUGGGGAGGCAAAAUCACUCCAGUAAUUUUGUCUGGACACAUUUGUAUACUGGAAAGGCUGCCAGGGAGGAAAAUCCUCUGGAUCCCAAAAUGGUUGUUGUUGUUGUUUAGUCAUUUAGUCGUGUCCGACUCUUCGUGACCCCAUGGACCAGAGCACUCCAGGCACUUCUGUCUUCCACUGCCUUCCGCAGUUUAGUCAAACUCAUGCUGGUAGCUUCGAGAACACUGUCCAACCAUCUUGUCCUCUGUCGUUCCCUUCUGCUUGUGCCCUCCAUCUUUCCCAGCAUCAGGGUCUUUUCCAUGGAGUCUUCUCUUCUCAUGAGGUGGCCAAAGUCUUGGAACCUCAGCUUCACGAUCUGUCCUUCCAGUGAGCAUUCAGGACUGAUUUCCUUAAGAAUGGUGAGGUUUGAUCUUCUUGCAGUCCAUGGGACUCUCAAGAGUCUCCUCCAGCACCACAAUUCAAAAGCAUCAAUUCUUCGGCGAUCAGCCUUCUUUAUGGUCCAGCUCUCACUUCCGUACAUCACUACUGGGAAAACCAUAGCUUUAACUAUACGGACCUUUGUUGGCAAGGUGAUGUCUCUGCUUUUUAAGAUGUUGUCUAGGUUUGUCAUUGCUUUUCUCCCAAGAAAAUUUUCUCUAACCCAAAAUGGUUAGAGCAGCAUAAUGACAGCUGGCUCCAUCAGGAUCUCAACCAAGGAAGGGCGAGAUUCCGAUUCCUUGUAGAUAAAUUGGUUUGCUUUCGAGCUGGGAAGAGAGUUGGGAGGUAAAUAAGACCAGGGUGGGGAAAGUGUGGCUCUCCAAACAUGGUUGGACUCCAACUGUCCAUCAUCCCAUGCCAACAAGGCCAAAGGAAUGAUGGGAGUUGGAGCCCAACCUAGAAGAUCACAGGGUCCCCAUUUCUUGUGGUAUAGGAGAUGAUAGUGAAUCAAUCCAGACCAGUGUAAUGAUUAGUUGCAUCAAGACAGAUGCACCCUUUAUUCAGGUUGUCAGGACUGUGUCCAGAGAUGCUGCUGACCUCAAGGAAGAUCACUCUGCAGGACAGCCGGGGAAGAGGAUUCUAUGUCUGCAAGCUGGCAGGGGUUCCGACUCUUUAAAGAAUGGACCAGAAUGCUUCCCUCAACCACCACACCAAGCACUCAAGGGAUCUUAAUUUUCCAGGUAAGCUGUCAGAACACACAGCAAAGGUCUCACCUGGAGGUCCAACAGCAAUGCUGGAGUUCAUGGUUCCAAGGCAAGAUUCUGCCUUUUAUAUUCUUGGCAGCUCUCAGCUAUGGGUCUAAACAAUCCUGGUCUCUAGACAGGGCCAGCCCAAGAAAUUUUGGCACCUGUUGCGGACCCCAAAAUGGCUCUAGGGAAGCAGGGAUGAGGGAAGAUCUACAUCAGGAACAAGGAGGGAAGGAUGAUCAACAUUGGGAUCUGCUGUCACCAUGGAUCCUGCCACCUGAGGCCCUUGCCUCACCUUGCCUCAUGGGUGGGUUGGCCCAGAAGCACCAGUGGUCACCUUUGGCGAGGAUAAGGCAACUUCACAUGGAGCUGUGAUAUAUGCAGAGGGGGGCAACUAAGAUGGUCACGGGUCUGGAAACCAAGCUUUAUGAGGAAUGGUUGAAGGAGCUGGAUACGUUUAGCGUGGGAAAAGAGAAGACUGAGAGGAGAUAUGAUAGCCAUCUUCAAAUAUCUCAAGGGCUGUCACAUGGAAGAUGGAGCUAGCUUGUGUUCUCCUGCUCUGGUGGGUAGAAUCAUAGAAUCAUAGAAUCAUAGAAUCAUAGAAUCAUAGAGUUGGAAGAGACCACAAGGGCCAUCGAGUCCAACCCCCUGCCAAGCAGGAAACACCAUCAGAGCACUCCUGACAUAUGGUUGUCAAGCCUCUGCUUAAAGACCUCCAAAGAAGGAGACUCCACCACACUCCUUGGCAGCAAAUUCCACUGUCGAACAGCUCUUACUGUCAGGAAGUUCUUCCUAAUGUUUAGGUGGAAUCUUCUUUCUUGUAGUUUGGAUCCAUUGCUCCGUGUCCGCUUCUCUGGAGCAGCAGAAAACAACCUUUCUCCCUCCUCUAUGUGACAUCCUUUUAUAUAUUUGAACAUGGCUAUCAUAUCACCCCUUAACCUCCUCUUCUCCAGGCUAAACAUGCCCAGCUCUCUUAGCCGUUCCUCAUAAGGCAUCGUUUCCAGGCCUUUGACCAUUUUGGUUGCCCUCCUCUGGACACGUUCCAGUUUGUCAAUGUCCUUCUUGAACUGUGGUGCCCAGAACUGGACACAGUACUCCAGGUGAGGUCUGACCAGAGCAGAAUACAGUGGCACUAUUACUUCCCUUGAUCUAGAUGCUAUACUCCUAUUGAUGCAGCCCAGAAUUGCAUUGGCUUUAGCUGCCGCGUCACACUGUUGGCUCAUGUCAAGUUUGUGGUCAACCAAGACUCCUAGAUCCUUUUCACAUGUACUGCUCUCAAGCCAGGUGUCCCCAUCUUGUAUUUGUGCCUCUCAUUUUAUUGCCCAAGUGCAAUACUUUACAUUUCUCCCUGUUAAAAUUCAUCUUGUUUGUUUUGGCCCAGUUCUCUAAUCUGUCAAGGUCGUUUUGAAGUGUGAUCCUGUCCUCUGGGGUGUUAGCCACCCCUCCCAAUUUGGUGUCAUCUGCAAAUUUGAUCAGGAUGCCCUUGAGUCCAUCAUCCAAGUCGUUGAUAAAGAUGUUGAAUAAGACCGGGCCCAAGACAGAACCCUGUGGCACCCCACUAGUCACUCUUCUCCAGGAUGAAGAGGAACCAUUGAUGAGCACCCUUUGGGUUCGGUCAGUCAGCCAGUUACAAAUCCACUGAGUGGUAGCAUAGUCAAGACCACAUUUUACCAGCUUCUUUACAAGAAUAUCAUGAGGCACCUUGUCAAAUGCCUUGCUGAAAUCAAGGUAGGCUACAUCCACUGCAUUCCCUUCAUCUACCAGGCUUGUAAUUCUGUCAAAAACGAGAUCAGGUUAGUCUGACAUGACUUAUUUUUCAGAAAUCCAUGCUGACUAUUGGUGAUCACAGCAUUCCUUUCUAGGUGCUCACAGACUGUUUGCUUAAUGAUCUGCUCCAGAAUCUUCCCUGGUAUUGAUGUCAGACUGACUGGGCGGUAAUUAUUUGGGUCCUCUCUUUUCCCCUUUUUGAAAAUAGGGACAACAUUUGCCCUCCUCCAGUCUGCCGGGACUUCGCCUGUUCUCCAGGAAUUCUCAAAGAUGACUGCCAGUGGUUCUGAGAUCACAUCUGCCAGUUCUUUUAAUACUCUUGGAUGCAGUUCGUCUGGCCCUGGAGACUUGAAUACAUCUAAACUAGCCAAGUAUUCUUGUACUAUCUCCUUAGUUAUUCUGGGCUGUGUUUCCUUUGCUGAAUCAUUUGCUCCAAAUUCUUCAGGUCGGGCAUUGUUUUCUUUAUCGGAGAAGACUGAGGCAAAGAAGGCAUUGAGGAGUUCAGCUCUUUCUGUGUCCCCUGUUUGCAUUUCACCAUCUUCUCCUCUGAGUGACCCCACUGUUUCUUUGUUCUUCCUUUUGCUACGGACAUACCCAUAAAAGCCUUUUUGGUUGCUUUUAACCUCUCUAGCAAGCCUGAGUUCAUUCUGUGCUUUAGCUUUUCUGACUUUGUGUCUACACGUGCUGGCUAUUUGUUUGAAUUCCUCUUUGGUGGUUUCCCCCUUUUCCAUUUUUGUACACAUCCUUUUUAAUCUUAACUCAGUUAAAAGUUCUUUAGAUAGCCACCCUGGCUUCUUUAGGCACCUUCCAUGUUUCUGUCUCAUUGGUAUUGCCUGACGUUGUGCUUUUACUAUCUCCCUCUUAACAAACUCCCAGCCAUCAUGAACUCCCUUUCCUUUUAGUAUUACUGUCCAUGGGAUCUCACCCAGCACUUCCCUAAGUUUUAUGAAGUCAGCUUUCUUAAAGUCAAGAAAUUGAGUCCUAGUAUGCUUGGCUGCUCCUUUCCGCUGUAUAGUAAACUUCAGAAGAGCAUGAUCACUCGCGCCUAAUGAUCCUUCCACUUCUACCCCACUAACCAGGUCAUCAACAUUGGUUAGGACCAGAUCUAAAAUGGCUGUUCCUCUUGUUGCUUCUCCCACUUUCUGGACAAUGAAGUUGUCUGCAAGGCCAGUGAGGAAUCUGUUUGACCUUAUGCUCUUGGCUGAGUUUGACAUCCAACAAAUAUCCGGGUAAUUGAAGUCCCCCAUUACUACUAUCUCCCUUCCUUUUGCAUGCUUGGCCAUCUGUUCCAGGAAGGCAUCAUCUAUGUCCUCCGUUUGGCUUGGGGAUCUAUAGUAAACUCCCACAAUGAGGUCACUGUUAUUCUUCUCUCCCUUAAUUUUGACCCAAAUGCUCUCACUUUGGCUUUGAGGUUCUAAAUCUUGGAUCUCUUCACUGGUAUACACAUCCCUGACAUAUAACGCCACUCCUCCUCCUUUCUUGUCUGGUCUGUUUCUCUGAAAUAGAUUGUAUCCCCCAUUAUUACAUUCCAAUCGUGGGACUUAUCCCACCAGGUUUCAGUGAUGCCUAUUAUGUCAUAUUUAGUUUGCUGUACCAAGAGCUCAAGCUCAUCUUGUUUAUUUCCCAUGCUUUGCGCAUUAGUGUACAGACAUUGAAGUCCAUUAAUCAUUCCCCCGUGUCUCUUAUUUAAGGAUUUUUUCCUCCCACCACUAGGUCUGCGUGCUGUUUGCUCGAACCAAUGGCUUCAAGUUAUAAGAAAGGAGAUUCCAGCUCAACAUCAGGAAGAACUUUCUGACUCUAAGAGCUGUGGAAUGGACUCCCUUGGAAGGUGAUGGACUCUCUUUCCUUGGAGGUUUUUAAGCAGAGGUUGGAUGGCCAUCUAUCCUGGAUGCUUUAGCUGAGAUUCCUGCAUUGCAGGGGGUUGGACUAGAUGACCGUCAGGGUCCCUUCCAACUCUGCAGUGAUAUGAUUCUUUGAUUUUAAGAGGAUCUGAGAAGGGAACAAGCAGGAAGAAGCAGCGAGUUUUGGAGACAACUGGCAAGAUGAAGCAUUGGGGAGUCACAAGAUCAUGUACAGUGGUACUUUGGGUUACAUACGCUUCAGGUUACAUACGCUUCAGGUUACAGACUCCGCUAGCCCAGAAAUAGUGCUUCAGGUUAAGAACUUUGCUUCAGGAUGAGAACAGAAAUCGUGCUCCGGUGGUGCGGCAGCAGCGGGAGGCCCCAUUAGCUAAAGUGGUGCUUCAGGUUAAGAACAGUUUCAGGUUAAGUACGGACCUCCGGAACGAAUUAAGUACUUAACCCGAGGUACCACUGUAGUUGCUUUUGAGGUGGUGGUGAGAUUUUGGUGGUUUAGCACUAGCAAAGCCUGUCCCUGUGCCUGCUUCCUCCUCCCACCCUCAGGGCCGCUCAACCUGCGUAUUUGUAGGUAAUCAAAUAUGACUUUUAAAAUACUGUAGGUCUCCAAUAAUCUGUCCCCACAAGGCACUUGACCUUGAAAACCUGCCCUGGAAAUGUCUGCUACUUGGGGAAGCAGAGAACACAAAGAACAAGAAUAGUAACUGGCCAUCUGCAGCAGCCUUUUAAUGGCACUCCCAAUCCCUUUACUUCCUAGGAAAUCGGGCCAUGAUUUGGGAUGCCAAGAAAUAUAGCCACUAAGAGUAAGCCUGCCUAACACGAAUAGACAAUCUUAUAUAUAUAGAAUUAAAGCCAGCAACACAGCAGCCAUUAGUCUUGGGGGAAUGCACUGUAGCAUGCCCAAAUGCCCCAAGAUCACCCAUCAUAUCAUUUGGCACAUUGCUCAAAACACAGUGCAAAGGACAAGCAGGAGACAGCAGCUACUCGGGGAAAUUUCUGUAGCCGUUUGACUUCUGCCUAAAAAAUGCUCUCUUCUUUUCUGGUAUUUUGAAUCUCAUUAUGCAACCCAGGCUCGCCUCCGCAGAUGGGCAUCCGAGGCAGAUGGCUUUUCUCACGUGAGCAAGCUCCCAAAAUCAUUCAGGAAUACAGCAGAAAUAGAUGCCCAGCCGUGCCAGUCUGGAAUGAAGUACAAAGUCUGGCAUGAUGGAUGAGGCCGUACCUCGGGUUACAGACGCUUCAGGUUGCGUUUUUUUCGGGUUACGGACCCGCCGAAACCCGGAAGUACCGGAAUGGGUUACUUCUGAGUUUUGGCAGUCACGCAUGUGCAGAAGUGCUAAAUCAUGCUUUGCGCAUGCACAGAAGCACUGAAUCGCAACCCACGCGUGUGCAGACAUGCCGCUGCGGGUUGCGAACACUCCGGGUUGCGAACGUGCAUCCCACACAGACCACGUUCGCAACCCGAGCAUUCACCGUAUUUGGAAGAUGCUCUGUUGCUCAGGACGUUUUGUUGCUCUAAGAAAAACUGAAAAUGCUCCUUCUCGGCCUUUUGGCUAAGAUCAAGUGUUGAAAAUGCUGCUCCACUGGGAGGAGGGCUACUGCAGAGGUUGUUUAAGGGGAGUUUAGGGGAGUUUUGGGACGUGGGUGGUGCUGUGGGUUAAACCACAGAGCCUAGGACUUGCCGAUCAGAAGGUCGGCAGUUCAAAUCCCUGUGACGGGGUGAGCUCCCAUUGCUUAGUCCCUGCUCCUGCCAACCUAGCAGUUCGAAAGCACGUCAAAGUGCAAGUAGAUAAAUAGGUACCACUCCGGCGGGAAGGUAAACGGCGUUUCCGUGUGCUGCUCUGGCUUGCCAGAAGCGGCUUAGUCAUGCUGGCCACAUGACCUGGAAGCUGUACGCCGGCUCCCUCGGCCAAUAAGGCGAGAUGAGCGCCACCACCCCAUAGUCGGUCAUGACUGGACCUAGUGGUCAGGGGUCCCUUUACCUUUUACUGUUGCCCAGGACGUUUUGCUGCUCUAAGCAAAACUGAAAAUGCUGGGAGGAGGGCCACUGCAGAGGUGGUUUUAGGGGAGUUUAGGGGAGUUUUAGGGGAGUUUGAUCAGUUUCCCCAGAGCGGGCACUGAGCAGGCCACAAUAGCCAUGCUCUACCUGGACCAUCAGAGGAACCAGAAGAGGGGAGAGGGCUGCUGUUGCACUCAGGUCCUCCUUGUGGGAUCCCCGUAGGCAUGAGAUGGUGGGAAUUGGAUGCCAUUGGCCUGACCCAGCACAGUAAUUCUUGUGUUCUUAUGUCAUUUUCAAGGAAGGGGCUGAGUGGAUGGAGAAGUGUCAGCACUGAGAGAUGCGCGCACACACAUAUUGAGGAACAGGACCAGACUCAAUAAACUUGUAGGCUCCUCCAGAUACCCAUAUUCAGCAUUCAUCCUCAUUUGCUUGCGCAAAGCUUACAUGCUGGUUAGACUACGUCUGGUCUCUAUGGAUGUCCGGGAUCAUGCUGAGGAGGGCUACACUAAGGAGGAAUGGUGGGAGCCAUCCCCUCCCCCUGCUCUUGCUCCUGAAUCUUCCCAGGAGCAGGAGGACAGUAUAGAUUUGGAACACUGGUUUGCAGAGGGGCAUAGUUCCAAAGGCAGAAGCUGGGAAAUACUGGACGGGGAACAGCUAGGAGAAGAAACACUGGGAGAGAGAGGGUAAAACAGAUUCACAGUCUCUGGACAGCAUCCAACCCCCUUCUCCAAAGUCAGGGAGAGCUCAGAAAGUGUCAGAACAGAAAGCACAGAGGGUACAAGCUCAGAUUACAAGAGUGACGUAGAUUAAUAGGGACAGAGGGAGGAGUGUCCCUUAAUUGGGAGCACCGCCAUUUCUAGGAGAUAUGUUCUUUGUUCUCUUGCUAUGGUUAUUAAAGAUUCUAACUGAUAAGGCGUUCCUUUCAUUUGAUCUCUUAUCGAUUGCCAUGGGGGGGGGCGCCAAUUCCCCAAAGCCUGACAAUGGAACAUUUGAUCUGAUAUGCUUAUAGGUCAAUGAGUAUUCAUCCUGCAUUCAGGAUGUAUUUAAAAAAAACACACAUUUCCCCAUUAAUCAUUCAUUCAUCCCACACUUUUUGAUGCAUUUCCCAUCACUUUCCCGACUGCAAAAUGUCUUCUUCUUUUUUUGUUUUUACAGUGGAUUUGUUGCACUGCGGCAAGGAGAACACUUUGAUUGUUCAAACUUGGAGUUCCGGUCUGCAGUCAAAUCGCUCUUACAGAAUAGCGACAGUCCGGAGAUACCUUGAGAUGCAGAUCCCGCUGUUCAGAUCCGCCUGCACCCAAGGGAGGCUGCAUCAUUCUUCCUCCCCUCCUGUGCUUUUCCCCACCCCCUCCCACCCGCGUUGUGCAUUGCAAAAUGUCCUGUCCGCUGCACGGCGGUGCCUGUCGCACACUUAAAAAGGAAAUUUCGCUGAUGCAGCAGGUUCCACCGAAAACUCCCUCCCUCCCUUGCUCCCCC